rnacentral:rRNA from 1 species
GGAAAUCUCACCAGGUCCGGACAUAGUAAGGAUUGACAGAUUGACAGCUCUUUCUUGAUUCUAUGGGUGGUGGUGCAUGGCCGUUCUUAGUUGGUGGAGUGAUUUGUCUGGUUGAUUCCGUUAACGAACGAGAUCUCCGCCUACUAAAUAGUCACGCGAAUCCGUUUGGAUUGGCGGGCGACUUCUUAGAGGGACACUUGGCGUUUAGUCAAGGGAAGUUGGAGGCAAUAA